CCCUGCCAUUUGUACACACCGCCCGUCGCUACUACCGAUUGAAUGAUUUAGUGAGGUCUUCGGACUGGAACUCGGAGCGGCUCUCGGGUCGCGCCGGCGUGCCGGAAAGAUGACCAAACUUGAUCAUU
rnacentral:rRNA from 1 species